UGGUCCUCAUUGUCCCCUUGGUGGCCCCUCAAUGGCCCCAUCGUGGCCCCAUGGUCCUUGGUGGCCCCUCGAUGUCUCCUUGGUGGCCCCAUGGUCCUCACGGAUCUCCAUGGUCCUUGGUGACCCCUUGGUGACCCCUUGGUGACCCCUUGGUGACCCCUUGGUGGCCCCUUGGUGGCCCCUUAGUGGUCCCUUGGUGGCCCCAUGGUCCUCAGUGGCCCCUUGGUGGCCCCUCAAUGUCCCCAUGGUCCUUGGUGGCCCCUCAAUGUCCCCUUGGUGGCCCCUCGAUGGUCCCAUGGUCCUUGGUGGCCCCUUGGUCCUCAGGGUUCUCCAUGGUCCUUGGUGGCCCCUCAAUGUCCCCUUGGUGGCACCUCAACGUCCCCUUGGUGGCCCCAUGGUCCUCAGGGAUCUUCAUGGUCCUUGGUGGCCCCUUGGUGGCCCCUCAACGUCCCCUUGGUGGCCCCAUGGUGUCUUGUGGCCCCUCAAUGUCCCCUUGGUAGCCCCUUGGUGGCCCCAUGGUCCUCAGUGGCCCCUUGGUGGCCCCUCAACGUCCCCUUGGUGGCCCCUCAACGUCCUCAUGGUCCUUGGUGGCCUCUCAAUGUUCCCUUGGUGACCCCUUGGUGGCCUCUCAACGUCCUCAUGGUUCUUGGUGGCCCCUCAAUGUCCCCUUGGUGGCCCCAUGGUCCUCAGGGUUCUCCAUGGUCCUUGGUGGCCCCUCAAUGUCCCCUUGGUGGCCCCUCGGUGGCCCCUCAAUGGCCCCAUGGUCCUUGGUGGCCCUUCAACCUCCCUUGGUGGCCCCUUGAUGGUCCUACGGUGGCCCCUCAAUGUCCCCAUCAAGUCACCUUGGUGGCCCCACGGUGGCACCAUGGUCCUUGGUGGCCCCUCGAUGUCCCCUUGGUGGCCCCUCGAUGUCCCCUUGGUGGCCCCUUGGUGACCCCAUGGUCCUCAGGGUUCUCCAUGGUCCUUGGUGGCCCCUUGGUGGCCCCUCAACGUCCGCUUGGUGGCCCCUCAAUGUCCCCUCGAUGUCCCCUUGGUGGCCCCAUGGUCCUCAGGGUUCUCCAUGGACCUUGGUGGCCCCUCAAUGUCCCUUUGGUGGCCCCUCGAUGGUCCCAUGGUGGCCCCUUGGUGGCCUCUCAAUGUCCUCAUGGUCCCUGGUGGCCCCUCGAUGUCCCCUUGGUGGCCCCUCGAUGUCCCCUUGGUGGCCCCUUGGUCCUCAGGGAUCUCCAUGGUCCUUGGUGGCCCCUCAACAUCCUCAUGGUCCUUGGUGGCCCCUCAUUGUCCCCUUGGUGGCCCCUCGAUGUCCCCUUGGUGGCCCCAUGGUCCUCAGUGGCCCCUCAGUGGCCCCUCAAUGUCCCCUUGGUGGCCCCAUGGUCCUCAGGGAUCUCCAUGGUCCUUGGUGGCCCCUUGAUGGCCUCUCAAUGUCCCCUCAACAUCCCCUUGGUGGCCCCUUGGUGGCACCUCAAUGUCCUCAUGGUCCUUGGUGGCCCCUUGGUGGCCCCUUGGUGGCCCCUUGGUGGCCCCUCAAUGAUCCCUUGGUGACCCCUUGGUGGCCCCUCAAUGUCCCCUUGGUGGCUCCUUGGUGGCUCCUCAAUGUCCUCAUGGUCCUUGGUGGCCCCUCAAUGGCCCCUUGAUGUCCCCUUGGUGGCCUCUUGGUGGC
rnacentral:lncRNA from 1 species